rnacentral:SRP_RNA from 1 species
UGCCGCUGCCCGCGGGACUGCGAUCGUUCCGAACCGCGUCAGAUCCGGGAGGAAGCAGCGCUAAGGAUCGCUCGCAGGUCCCCGGGUUUUGGCCGCGCGA